UAACAGAACAUUGGGUGCUGAUUUAGAGCAUCUUUCUCAUGUUUGAAGCAUUCUGAUGAACAAUUCUGCAUAAUACUGAUAAUUUCUAUAGAAUCAUAAGCCUUCACUGGAUCAUGAAUUACUGGUGUCCAAAGAUAUUUACAAUUCAAGAGUGAUAGUUUCGCUCAUAAAAUGGCACUUUGAUCAUGGAACAAGCUCCCCAGCUCAUGCGGCCUUCUACUUUAUAAAACACUGCAUCAGAACCUCGAGAAUGAUGAUGAAGCAUGGCAUUUAAGCAGGCAAGAGAAGAGGGUAAGCCUUCCUGGAGGGCGUGAGAAGUCAGACAACUGCUACAUUUUGCUCCAGUUUAGGAGAUGAAAAAAGUAAAUAAUGAAAAAAGUAACCUGAUCAGUGUAACAAUAAGAUGAUAGAAGUAACCUGAACACAGCAUAAUAAUAUAUACUUAGAAUAUUACUCCUUUAUCAAAGUAAAGAAUUUCCAUUACUUCGAUUGAGGACUAUCAGAAAUGUCAUAUUUAAGCCCACAGUCCCGGCACCAUCUGCACAGUCUUGUCGUAGUUAUGCCACAGUUACGAGGAAUGGUUGAGCGCGCUAUGCGCAGAGAUAUCCUCCAGGCGGUUGCUUUUGCUUUCACUGUUGGAUUUUGUUACAAAUACUUUGUUGCUUGGCCAAAGAAGGAAAUAUACAAAGAAUAUCAUAUGAACUUGGACGCGGAAAAAGAAAGCGAAACUGAUAGAGGCAGACAUUGAUGCAAACAUUUGAGCAGAAACAGGAACGAUGUGACUGAAGCAGUAUGUAAAACCAUCCUAGAAACAUUGUAAAGUAACUUAAUAAGAACCACUAGCUUUAAGUUCUGUCAGAUAUAACUUACGUUAUUCGCUUUGGUAGAGUACGAACACUUUAAGUGUGUAACAUAAAUACCACUAAAUACUGCUAAAUUAUGCUAAUCCUAUUGUUUUCUAUUGUUUAAUUAGCACUAUUUACUACUAAAUAGUGCAAAGUGUUGCACGCUUUUAGUGUUUGUACUCUAGUACUUAAAUUAACCUAGUCUCUUUUUUGAAAAUAUAACGAAGAUUUUUGUGGAGUGUAAGUACAGCCUUUUCCCCGCUCCACAUAAGCAUGGUGAAUAAGCAUCGCGAAGUCCCUCCCCGAGAGGAAACGAAGACGCAUACUCGUCCCAAUAUUUUAUGCAAUUUUUUCCCAUCUUCCUUUACUCAUUUUUUCCCGUUGUUUCUCCCUCGGCAAACAAACGAAAAACUCAAUUAAAUAAUAAUAGUAAAUUG